rnacentral:rRNA from 1 species
AAAUUGAAGAGUUUGAUCAUGGCUCAGAUUGAACGCUGGCGGCAGGCCUAACACAUGCAAGUCGAACGGUAACAGGAAGCAGCUUGCUGCUUCGCUGACGAGUGGCGGACGGGUGAGUAAUGUCUGGGAAACUGCCUGAUGGAGGGGGAUAACUACUGGAAACGGUGGCUAAUACCGCAUAACGUCGCAAGACCAAAGAGGGGGACCUUCGGGCCUCUUGCCAUCAGAUGUGCCCAGAUGGGAUUAGCUAGUUGGUGAGGUAACGGCUCACCAAGGCGACGAUCCCUAGCUGGUCUGAGAGGAUGACCAGCCACACUGGAACUGAGACACGGUCCAGACUCCUACGGGAGGCAGCAGUGGGGAAUAUUGCACAAUGGGCGCAAGCCUGAUGCAGCCAUGCCGCGUGUAUGAAGAAGGCCUUCGGGUUGUAAAGUACUUUCAGCGGGGAGGAAGGUGUUGUGGUUAAUAACCGCAGCAAUUGACGUUACCCGCAGAAGAAGCACCGGCUAACUCCGUGCCAGCAGCCGCGGUAAUACGGAGGGUGCAAGCGUUAAUCGGAAUUACUGGGCGUAAAGCGCACGCAGGCGGUCUGUCAAGUCGGAUGUGAAAUCCCCGGGCUCAACCUGGGAACUGCAUUCGAAACUGGCAGGCUUGAGUCUUGUAGAGGGGGGUAGAAUUCCAGGUGUAGCGGUGAAAUGCGUAGAGAUCUGGAGGAAUACCGGUGGCGAAGGCGGCCCCCUGGACAAAGACUGACGCUCAGGUGCGAAAGCGUGGGGAGCAAACAGGAUUAGAUACCCUGGUAGUCCACGCCGUAAACGAUGUCUACUUGGAGGUUGUGCCCUUGAGGCGUGGCUUCCGGAGCUAACGCGUUAAGUAGACCGCCUGGGGAGUACGGCCGCAAGGUUAAAACUCAAAUGAAUUGACGGGGGCCCGCACAAGCGGUGGAGCAUGUGGUUUAAUUCGAUGCAACGCGAAGAACCUUACCUGGUCUUGACAUCCACAGAAGAAUCCAGAGAUGGAUUUGUGCCUUCGGGAACUGUGAGACAGGUGCUGCAUGGCUGUCGUCAGCUCGUGUUGUGAAAUGUUGGGUUAAGUCCCGCAACGAGCGCAACCCUUAUCCUUUGUUGCCAGCGGUC